AACAGGAUUAGAUACCCUGGUAGUCCACCCGUAAACGUUGGGAACUAGUUGUGGGGACCAUUCCACGGUUUCCGUGACGCAGCUAACGCAUUAGGUUCCCCGCCUGGGGAGUACGGCCGCAAGGCUAAAACUCAAAGGAAUUGACGGGGACCCGCACAAGCGGCGGAGCAUGCGGAUUAAUUCGAUGCAACGCGAAGAACCUUACCAAGGCUUGACAUACACCAGAACGGGCCAGAAAUGGUCAACUCUCUGGACACUGGUGAACAGGUGGUGCAUGGUUGUCGUCAGCUCGUGUCGUGAGAUGUUGGGUUAAGUCCCGCAACGAGCGCAACCCUCGUUCUAUGUUGCCAGCACGUAAUGGUGGGAACUCAUGGGAUACUGCCGGGGUCAACUCGGAGGAAGGUGGGGAUGACGUCAAAUCAUCAUGCCCCUUAUGUCUUGGGCUUCACGCAUGCUACAAUGGCCGGUACAAAGGGCUGCAAUACCGUAAGGUGGAGCGAAUCCCAAAAAGCCGGUCCCAGUUCGGAUUGAGGUCUGCAACUCGACCUCAUGAAGUCGGAGUCGCUAGUAAUCGCAGAUCAGCAACGCUGCGGUGAAUACGUUCCCGGGUCUUGUACACACCGCCCGUCAAGUCAUGAAAGUCGGUAACACCUGAAGCCGGUGGCCCAACCCUUGUGGAGGGAGCCGUCGAAGGUGGGAUCGGUAAUUAGGACUAAGUCGUAACAAGGUA
rnacentral:rRNA from 1 species